CACAUCUGUGUUCUCUGAAGGAUCUCUGCUCCUUCCCGGGUGUUGCAAAGGCAGCCUGUCCUCUCCAUUUCCUGGGUCCCAGCUCCUUUCUCCUGACCCUCGUUUCCAGCUCCCUUGGGCCAAGACAGAGAAUAAAAACAUCCUGGGAUGGACGUGCCGUGAAGGAGGAUGUCCUUCCAGAAACCAAAGCAAAGCCAGCAACGCCCUUCCCUCCCCCAAAUAAAAGUAUUGGAGGACCGGGCUGCUUCUUUCGUUCUCCUCCAAGCCUGGAUGUUCUUAGGGGGGUGGCACAGAAACUCUUCUUCCAGGAGGUGAGAGGACUGUGGUCAGAUGUCCUGGCUUACUCUCAGCCAAGCCUUGCCGCUGGGAGAGGACUCCUUGAGGCAGAAGCUGGGCAAAGGGUGAACUAGAAGAAGCCGGCAGCUUUUGGGUAUUCGCUGGGGCAUCAGUGAGCACUUGUCCUCUGCCUCUCUUUUCUUGGGUCUGUCGGGCUGUUUGGAAGAAACAGUCUCUGAGCCCUUUGAGCUGCCUAUUGGUCAGGGAAUGAAUCUGUCUACUCUCUCAGGUGAGACUGUCUGUGUCUGAGCUGAUCACUCGGAAGAGUUUGUAAAGCUGGCGGCGGGGGGGGUGGGGAAAUAGAUCCAGAGUGUUCCGAGUAUUUGUAUUCUAUGCAAAACUCAUGGAAUUGGAGUUCCCGUUGUGGCUCAGCAGCAAUGAACCUGACUAGUAUCCAUGAGGACGUGGGUUGGAUCCUUGGCCUCGCUCAGUGGGUUAAGGAUCCGGUGUUGCCGUGAGCUGUGAUGUAGGUUGCAGAUCUGGCUUGGAUCCUGCGUUGCUGUGGCUGCAGUGUAGGCUGGGAGCUGCAGCUCUGAUUUGACCCUUAGCCUGGGAACUUCCAUAUGCCAUGGGUGCAGCCUUAGAAAAGGAAAAAAAAAUGUAUUUAUUCAUUUUAAAUAGGUAAUCCAAGCACAGGGCACAACACUGCAAAAAGUGCCUAAAAGUACUAUGGUGAAAAACAAAUGUCUUUCCCACUUCUGUGCCCAAAUCCCUCAGAUUCCCUCCCAGAAACAACCACUGUGCCAGUUAACCACUGGGCAUCUUUUGGGAGCUUGUC
rnacentral:lncRNA from 1 species